AUUGAACGCUGGCGGCAUGCCUUACACAUGCAAGUCGAACGGUAACAGGUCUUCGGAUGCUGACGAGUGGCGAACGGGUGAGUAAUACAUCGGAACGUGCCCAGACGUGGGGGAUAACGAGGCGAAAGCUUUGCUAAUACCGCAUACGAUCUAAGGAUGAGAGCAGGGGACCGCCAUGCCUUGCGCGUUUGGAGCGGCCGCUGGCAGAUUAGGUAGUUGGUGGGAUAAAAGCUUACCAAGCCGACGAUCUGUAGCUGGUCUGAGAGGACGACCAGCCACACUGGGACUGAGACACGGCCCAGACUCCUACGGGAGGCAGCAGUGGGGAAUUUUGGACAAUGGGCGAAAGCCUGAUCCAGCAAUGCCGCGUGCAGGACGAAGGCCUUCGGGUUGUAAACUGCUUUUGUACGGAACGAAAGGAUACUGGCUAAUACCUGGUAUUGAUGACGGUACCGUAAGAAUAAGCACCGGCUAACUACGUGCCAGCCGCCGCGGUAAGAC
rnacentral:rRNA from 1 species